CUCAAGAGAAGCUGACUGCCAGUUCUCCGACGCCUGAGUGUUUGCCAGCAAUGGUGCCAUUCUUGAGACCCUGAGUUCCUUCGUGAGAGGAUUUUUCCCCUGGUUUUCUGGAACCUACCUCCUCGUGACGCCGUGGAACUUACCCACUGGUUGCCCGAGUUCCUUCCCCGUUUCCCACAUUCGGAGGACCGAACAGCUCCUGGAAACACCGCUUGGCAAUCGGACCGCUUCUCUGUCUCCAAUCCGCCAGAACUUACCAGUCCGCCCUCCACAGCAGCCUCUAUCGCUCCUUCCGGAUCAGCUCAACCGAGUUGGCUUCCCUGGGAACUGGACCCAAAGAGAACCCAUCUGUCAGAUCUGAACCCGACCCAGCAGUGAUACCCUCCCGGACCAAGAUCGUCAGUCCCACAAUGUGCCGUCUUCUCCGAGAGCUGCUCCCCAGGAACUGUUUCCCUCCAUCCAUCUUCCCCGAAUCUUCAAUAAAAUAUCUUUAACUGAU